AGAGUUUGAUCCUGGCUCAGAUUGAACGCUGGCGGCAUGCCUUACACAUGCAAGUCGAACGGCAGCGCGGGGCAACCUGGCGGCGAGUGGCGAACGGGUGAGUAAUAUAUCGGAACGUACCCUGGAGUGGGGGAUAACGUAGCGAAAGUUACGCUAAUACCGCAUACGAUCUAAGGAUGAAAGCAGGGGACCGCAAGGCCGUGUGCUCCUGGAGCGGCCGAUAUCUGAUUAGCUAGUUGGUGGGGUAAAGGCCUACCAAGGCAUCGAUCAGUAGCUGGUCUGAGAGGACGACCAGCCACACUGGAACUGAGACACGGUCCAGACUCCUACGGGAGGCAGCAGUGGGGAAUUUUGGACAAUGGGCGCAAGCCUGAUCCAGCAAUGCCGCGUGAGUGAAGAAGGCCUUCGGGUUGUAAAGCUCUUUUGUCAGGGAAGAAACGGUGGAGGCUAAUAUCCUCUGCUAAUGACGGUACCUGAAGAAUAAGCACCGGCUAACUACGUGCCAGCAGCCGCGGUAAUACGUAGGGUGCAAGCGUUAAUCGGAAUUACUGGGCGUAAAGCGUGCGCAGGCGGUUUUGUAAGUCUGUCGUGAAAUCCCCGGGCUCAACCUGGGAAUUGCGAUGGAGACUGCAAGGCUAGAAUCUGGCAGAGGGGGGUAGAAUUCCACGUGUAGCAGUGAAAUGCGCAGAGAUGUGGAGGAACACCGAUGGCGAAGGCAGCCCCCUGGGUCAAGAUUGACGCUCAUGCACGAAAGCGUGGGGAGCAAACAGGAUUAGAUACCCUGGUAGUCCACGCUGUAA
rnacentral:rRNA from 1 species